CAAUGGGAUGCGAAUCUCGAAAGCCUGUCUCAGUUCGGAUUGGAGGCUGAAACCCGCCUCCAUGAAGUUGGAUUCGCUAGUAAUCGCGCAUCAGCCAUGGCGCGGUGAAUACGUUCCCGGGCCUUGUACACACCGCCCGUCACACCAUGAGAGUUGGCAAUACCCAACGUACGUGAUCUAACCCGCAAGGGAGGAAGCGUCCUAAGGUAGGGUCAGCGAUUGGGGUGAAGUCGUAACAAGGUAAC
rnacentral:rRNA from 1 species